rnacentral:rRNA from 1 species
UGGGGAAUUUUGGACAAUGGGCGAAAGCCUGAUCCAGCAAUGCCGCGUGUGUGAAGAAGGCCUUCGGGUUGUAAAGCACUUUUGUCCGGAAAGAAAUCCUUGGCUCUAAUACAGUCGGGGGAUGACGGUACCGGAAGAAUAAGCACCGGCUAACUACGUGCCAGCAGCCGCGGUAAUACGUAGGGUGCAAGCGUUAAUCGGAAUUACUGGGCGUAAAGCGUGCGCAGGCGGUUUGCUAAGACCGAUGUGAAAUCCCCGGGCUCAACCUGGGAACUGCAUUGGUGACUGGCAGGCUAGAGUAUGGCAGAGGGGGGUAGAAUUCCACGUGUAGCAGUGAAAUGCGUAGAGAUGUGGAGGAAUACCGAUGGCGAAGGCAGCCCCCUGGGCCAAUACUGACGUUCAUGCACGAAAGCGUGGGGAGCAAACAGGAUUAGAUACCCUGGUAGUCCACGCCCUAAACGAUGUCAACUAGUUGUUGGGGAUUCAUUUCCUUAGUAACGUAGCUAACGCGUGAAGUUGACCGCCUGGGGAGUACGGUCGCAAGAUUAAAACUCAAAUGAAUUGACGGGGUCAUAGCUGUUUCCU